GCGUUAUGGUCCCAGCAUGGAAGUUCGGGUUCUGGAGCUCGGCAGUCUGAAGUGCUGUAACGCUCAUUGAAGUCCUGACUAAACAGUUAAAGUGACUCUACCCUGUCGUGUGCCUUUAUUCCCACACCUCCACCACCACACAGCAAAGACCCGCAGCAUCCCCACCGGACAGCGGCUAGGUGGUCUGUGUGUGUUGUAUAUAAAUCAGGCGGCGGUGGCUGCGCCUCAGUGGCCGUGUCCAAUAAUCCGAGCUGAAGGAAGAUGAAAUUGUGUGGGGUAACAUUGCAGUCUCAGCCGUGCUUCCUGAUAGUCACACAAUGGUGCAUAGAAAAAAUGGAACCAGGAGAGGAAAUAGAGGUCAAGGAGAGAGAUUAGCUAACCUGCCAUCAUAAAUCAGCACAAAAGCUGGUUAAUUCGAGCAGACCUCAGAUGUCUUUUGAAACAGAAUGGUGGCUACAGGAUGGCAGCAGCAGCAGCGUGUUUGCCCGACAUGAUUAGAUCUCCGUGGGGUCCUCUCGGUGGCAGCCCCCCGCGACGGCAGAGAAAGAGGUCUCAGCCAAGAGCUGGAUGACACAUUACUUCAAGAGACUUCAUUACAACUUAAUAAUGUGUCAUGGAGAAACGUUUCUGCAUGUCUGGCUCUGACUAAUCUGUAACAAGACCCAAUUUAUCAUUCGUAUGGCCUUUGCAUUGAAAAUCUUUAUUAUUUAGGGUGUUGUG